UACUGAGUGGCAGACGGGUGAGUAACAUGUGGGAAUCUGCCUUGUGGUUCAGGACAACAUUGGGAAACCGAUGCUAAUACUGGAUAAGCCCUUACGGGGAAAGUUUUAAUGCCAUAAGAUGAGCCCGCAUUUGAUUAGUUAGUUGGUGAGGUAAUGGCUCACCAAGACAAUGAUCAAUAGCUGAUCUGAGAGGAUGAUCAGCCACACUGGGACUGAGACACGGCCCAGACUCCUACGGGAGGCAGCAGUGGGGAAUCUUGCACAAUGGAGGAAACUCUGAUGCAGCGAUGCCGCGUGAGUGAAGAAGGCCUUUGGGUUGUAAAGCUCUUUUGUAGGGGAAGAUAAUGACUGUACCCUAAGAAUAAGGUCCGGCUAACUUCGUGCCAGCAGCCGCGGUAAUACGAAGGGACCUAGCGUAGUUCGGAAUUACUGGGCGUAAAGCGCGCGUAGGCCGUUGAGUUAGUUAAUUGUGAAAUCCCAAAGCUUAACUUUGGAACUGCAAU
rnacentral:rRNA from 2 species